UUUAAGGAAAUACGACAAUCAAUUUUCAAUCCUUGGACCACUGGGUGAGCUCCCUUAACUGAGCUGGCAGCAGAUCCCAGGAAACAGAGGCAAGCUGGGAUACCCGGCACUGGAUACCCGGCACUGGAUACCCGGCACUGGAUACCCGGCACUGGACACCAGUCCAUCAAGCUGUCACCUGAGGCAGCAUUUUAUGGAGUUGAAGUUUCAAUACAGUAUUAUUUUAUAUGUUGUCUGAGGCAGAGAAUGCAAAGAAGGAACUUGUGUGUGGCUUCUUCUGGAAGACGUGUCCACUUUCAGUGUGAUGCUCUGAAACACUCAUUUGUGGCUGAGUCUAGAGCCCACUUCAGAGAGAAAACAGAGGCACCUGACCUUGGAGAGCCAUCGUUGCAUGUAGAGGUGACCUUGGGUUGGGAUGGGGGGGAGGAAAACCUGAGCUGAACGGCUCCAGGGGGAGAAAGACAGGAAGCCCAGCAGCAGGUGGCACUGCAUGUGUAUCCAGUGGGUUAUGGGUUCACAGCCCAGAGGGGCCAGUGCUGUGUGCUCCUCUGAGUGAGCUAAUUAAGCCGAAUCCCUUCAGUAAUUAUCCUGCUAUA